CUGUCCAUGCAGUCCUCAAACUGGAGAGUACGGCAAUAAAUCCUGUUUUAUUUUAUGGACAAAUAAAUGCUGAGGUAAAAUAUUCCAGGAUCGUAGCUCGAAUACUCGCCAUAGCCGUGCUACUGUAAUAACCGCGGUGACAUUAAUUUAGUGCUUUGUGCCGUAGGAAGAAGGAAGAAGGAGGGAGAAGGACAUUAAAAGAGAAAAAUUACCAUCCCUUGGAUUUAUUGGGAUUGGCCUUCCUCAUUUUCAGCCAUCAUCAGUUGAUUAGGUGCUGAUGACAGUGUGGACAAUCAUGCUGGAAUGGUUGGUGGAGGAAAGCCCUGAAGGGCUGAUACCUCUUGUGGGGAUUAGAGACUUCAUUCCAAGACUGCUAUGAGAUAUCCCUACAUUUGGGCACUGAAUGACAAGCCUGUAUCACCAGUACCAUGAACUGGAUCAGAGAAACAGAAGUUAACAAAGUAAGCAAAUGACUAUGAGCCACCCAUUUCCUAGGCCUGGGUAGAUAGGAAGCUUGGAUAAAUAUUCAGUGAUAUAGUUUAGCAUACUCAAGGAUUAACUGAAACCUGAGGAAAUCUGUGACUUAGACAAACUAGCUUUAUCACUUCAUGCCUCAGUUUCUCUGUUUGUAAAAUGAACUCCUAUCAACCAUUAUCCUUACUCCUAGGAUACUCUGGAGACAUUUACUGAAUAAGAAGUCUUAAUAUAUUUUAUAUACUUUAGAUAUGUAAAAAUAUGAAAAGACCUUGUGAAAUAAGGAUUCAAUUAUUCACACUGCUUAAAAUUAUUCCUUUCUUGGGUAGAGAGGAAUAGGGAGUUAAGGCCCCUAAAUUUGACCUGUGUGUUUUAAAGUUGCUAUCAUC
rnacentral:lncRNA from 1 species